UUACAGUUUUCUUUUACUUGUUUCCAUGUCCAUUGUCCAGAGAUCCAUGAUACCAACAUGGAUCUCUGGGCAAUGGACAUGGAAACAAGUAAAAGAAAACUGU
rnacentral:pre_miRNA from 1 species